UACGUAGGGGGCAAGCGUUGUCCGGAAUCAUUGGGCGUAAAGCGCGUGUAGGCGGCCACGUUAGUCCGUUCUGAAAGCCCGGGGCUCAACCCCGGGAGGCGGAUGGAUACUGCGUGGCUCGAGUCCGGAAGAGGCGAGUGGAAUUCCUGGUGUAGCGGUGAAAUGCGCAGAUAUCAGGAGGAACACCGGUGGCGAAGGCGGGUCUCUGGGCCGAUGACUGACGCUGAGGAGCGAAAGCGUGGGGAGCGAACAGG
rnacentral:rRNA from 1 species